UACGUAGGUGGCGAGCAGUGUUCGGUCGAUUUACUGGGCGUAAAGAGCGCGCAGGCGGUCGUUCAAGUCGCGUGUGAAAGCCCCCGGCUCAACUGGGGAGGGUCACGCGAUACUGAUCGACUGGAAGGCAGGAGAGGGCAGUGGAAUUCCCGGUGUAGUGGUGAAAUGCGUAGAUAUCGGGAGGAACACCAGUGGCGAAGGCGACUACCUGGCCUGUUCUUGACGCUGAGGCGCGAAAGCUAGGGGAGCAAACGGG
rnacentral:rRNA from 1 species